GAUGAACGCUGGCGGCGUGCCUAACACAUGCAAGUCGAGCGGGGUAUACGGAGCAGCUUGCUGCACUGUAGACCUAGCGGCGGACGGGUGAGUAACGCGUGGGUAACCUGCCUUACACAGGGGGAUAACACUGGGAAACCAGUGCUAAUACCGCAUAACAUCAUUUUAUGGCAUCAUGAAAUGAUCAAAGGAGAAAUCCGGUGUAAGAUGGGCCCGCGUCCGAUUAGCUAGUUGGUGAGGUAAUGGCUCACCAAGGCAGCGAUCGGUAGCCGGACUGAGAGGUUGGCCGGCCACAUUGGGACUGAGACACGGCCCAGACUCCUACGGGAGGCAGCAGUGGGGAAUAUUGCGCAAUGGGGGGAACCCUGACGCAGCGACGCCGCGUGAAGGAAGAAGGCCUCGGUGUAACUCUUGAUUGGGAAGAAAAUAGACGGUACCCAAAGAACAAGACCACGGCUAACUACGUGCCAGCAGCCGCGGUAAAGUACUCUAU
rnacentral:rRNA from 1 species